rnacentral:tRNA from 2 species
GGGCCGCUAGCUCAACUGGCAGAGCAGAUGACUCUUAAUCAUCAGGUUCGAGGUUCGAUUCCUCGGCGGCUCACCA